AGAAAAUUUAUAAAAUAAAGCAAGUAUAUAUAAAAUACUCUUAAUAUCCCCUACUGUGAACUGUUACAUUGCAUGUACUAAAUCAGGUUAGGUGAAAGAGACCUAUGCACUUCUACAGAUAGUCAGGUACAACAGGGAACUUGGCAGAUGUAAUUUGUGUCAUCUUGGCAAGAUUAAUCAAUGUAAAUGAGUAAUAUAGCUGCAAUUCAUUGUACUUAAAACUGGUAAGGUGAUGACAGUUAAUUCAGGUAUGCUCAUUAACUUGAUCAGUAUUAUAUUUAUAGCAGAUGUUCCUUCUGCCUUUAGUUCCACCUUGACAUUUGAUGGUGAAUGUGUUGAUUAUUGUUUGACUGUACUGUCAUUCAGUCAUGUCUAGAUCCUUUUUUGACUAUUUUAGUUUUCAUAGGAAACUAGCAAAGGUGAUCACAAUAUGUAAUGAGACUGGAAGUGUAUGUGAACUUGCCCACAUUUUCUACAUCCUUAUCUUUGAAACUUAUUGCUUAUCUGAUUGCUUCUCUGCAAUGACUUAGCUUUCUAAAACUGGUAUUGGUGCUCCACAGAUUCUUCUUAAUGCUGUCUGUCUGCCUGAAAUGAACACUGACUGUGUUCAUGAACACCCUAACUCACUGUAAGUGGCAUAUGCAGAACUGGUUCCAUACAAGGUCACCUUUGGAGUUGUAAUAGUUUAAUUUCUGUGUGGCUGUUUGCCCUGUAGAUGAAGUAAUGCCCCAACUUUUCCAAAUGCACUUAUCACUUAUUGAUAGUGGACAGAGUGUCAUGGUGGCCAGCUGUCUACCUGUGUGUGAUCUGGUUCUCUAUUGCUAAACCUUUACCAAGUUAAUAAUAUGUUAUUUAAAGUGCUCUGUUACUAAGGGUAGUUGUAAAUGAAAUAGCUGGCUGAAGCUCUAAAUUGAGGAUGGCCAAGAAAUGGUCAUUGGGGUCUGCUCACAAAUUUCCCUUGCAUUCUGCCCCUAGUGCAUUGUCUCAUGAUCUGGGAGCAUCUUUGCAGAUGGGACAUCUAGGAGCUCGAGCUGAAGAGAGAGAGGAUGCAUUAAGUACAGGCAGGACCUUCCCUUUUGGCUGGACUUUGUCACAGAAACCAGCUGUAUUCUGUCUUGACUUAGGAAGUCACAGGAAAGAGUUAGCCAAGAUCAGCCCAUUUCAUCCUCAGGUUUGUUAGAUGUUUUUUUGAAUUUCCAAGAUGUCUCUGGCUUGCUGGUACAUUUAGAUGUACUUUUUGAUUACUGGAAUGUGAUUAUCAAGUUAGUGGUCAAAUAUUUUGACUAACAACUAAAUUUGUGCAUCAAUGGUGCAAUACUAAGACUAAGCAUUCUGCAAGUUAUAUGCCAUUUCUACCACAUGGACAGUAUGAUAAAAGGGCAUGAAGCCCACUAAAGAUAAAGUGAUGUUGUAUGUAACUUGUUCAAUGUUCUCUUAACAUGUUUUGUAAUAAAAGAAAAAAAAAGUUCUAAUAUCA